GAUGAACGCUGGCGGCGUGCCUAAUACAUGCAAGUCGAGCGAACAGACGAGGAGCUUGCUCCUUUGACGUUAGCGGCGGACGGGUGAGUAACACGUAGGUAACCUACCUAUAAGACUGGGAUAACUUCGGGAAACCGGAGCUAAUACCGGAUAAUAUUUCGAACCGCAUGGUUCGAUGGUGAAAGAUGGCUUUGCUAUCACUUAUAGAUGGACCUGCGCCGUAUUAGCUAGUUGGUAAGGUAACGGCUUACCAAGGCAACGAUACGUAGCCGACCUGAGAGGGUGAUCGGCCACACUGGAACUGAGACACGGUCCAGACUCCUACGGGAGGCAGCAGUAGGGAAUCUUCCGCAAUGGGCGAAAGCCUGACGGAGCAACGCCGCGUGAGUGAUGAAGGUCUUCGGAUCGUAAAACUCUGUUAUUAGGGAAGAACAAACGUGUAAGUAACUGUGCACGUCUUGACGGUACCUAAUCAGAAAGCCACGGCUAACUACGUG
rnacentral:rRNA from 1 species